CCUACGGGAGGCAGCAGUGAGGAAUAUUGGUCAAUGGACGAGAGUCUGAACCAGCCAAGUAGCGUGAAGGAUGACUGCCCUCUGGGUUGUAAACUUCUUUUAUAUGGGAAUAAAAUGUUCCACGUAUGGGAUUUUGUAUGUACCAAAUGACUAAGGAUAGGCUAACUCCGUGACAGCAGCCGCGGUAAUACGGAGUAUCCGAGCGUUAUCCGGAUUGAGUGGGUUUAAAGGGAGCGUAGGUGGAUUGUUAAGUCAGUUGUGAAAGUUUGCGGCUCAACCGUAAAAUUGCAUUUGAAACUGGCAGUCUUGAGUACAGUAGAGGUGGGCGGAAUUCGUGGUGUAGCGGUGAAAUGCUUAGAUAUCACGAAGAACUCCGAUUGCGAAGGCAGCUCACUGGACUGCAACUGACACUGAGGCUCGAAAGUGUGGGUAUCAAACAGGAUUAGAUACCCGGGUAGUC
rnacentral:rRNA from 1 species